rnacentral:rRNA from 8 species
AUGGGCGCAAGCCUGAUGCAGCCAUGCCGCGUGUAUGAAGAAGGCCUUCGGGUUGUAAAGUACUUUCAGUCGUGAGGAAGGGGGUAUCGUUAAUAGCGGUAUUCUUUGACGUUAGCGACAGAAGAAGCACCGGCUAACUCCGUGCCAGCAGCCGCGGUAAUACGGAGGGUGCGAGCGUUAAUCGGAAUUACUGGGCGUAAAGCGCAUGCAGGUGGUUUGUUAAGUCAGAUGUGAAAGCCCGGGGCUCAACCUCGGAGUUGCAUUUGAAACUGGCAGGCUAGAGUACUGUAGAGGGGGGUAGAAUUUCAGGUGUAGCGGUGAAAUGCGUAGAGAUCUGAAGGAAUACCGGUGGCGAAGGCGGCCCCCUGGACAGAUACUGACACUCAGAUGCGAAAGCGUGGGGAGCAAACAGGAUUAGAUACCC